rnacentral:pre_miRNA from 1 species
CAAAUACUCCCUCUGUCCAGAAAUACUUGUCAUCAAAAUGGAUAAAAGGAAAUGUAUCUAGACGUAUUUUAGUUUUAGAUACAUCUCUUUUUAUCCAUUUUGAUGACAAGUAUUUUUGGACGGAGGGAGUAGAAA